GACCCUGUACAACAAGAGGGGAGGUACUUUUUUUCACUGACCCGUUCAUCUUCGUUUACUUAACUAUCCUAUCAUGCCAAAAAACUUGCUAUAGUGGAAGUAAGCUGUAUGAUACCUUGUAGUUUAGUAACUGUAUUGUAAUUUGUAGUUGGUCUAACUGAACUAUUCAUUAAUUUAACGUACUUAAUGUACCAUGAGAUGGGAGUAGAUUAUAUUAUUGGAAAAUGCUUAUUAUACAAUUUUCUUAAACCACCUCAAUUAUUCCUCUUUCAUUUUAUUUGAUACAAUCCUCACUGGCCUGUGAACUUUUAGGUGGAGUGUGUUCUGGGUCAGGUGGUACAAAGAGGUAUAAGAAUUGGUGAUGCAAUUAGUACUAUUCUCUAUUGUUGUGAUUUCUGGGAUGAGUGUGACAUGUCAUUGAUUUUUUUUUUUAUUAUUGCUACUAU
rnacentral:misc_RNA from 1 species